CUGAAGCAGACCGCGCUUGCCCGGCCUCCAUCCCGCCCUCCCCAGCCUGGGGGCAGUCCGCAUUCUAGUUGACCCCGGCGACGAAUAACGGAUCGGGAACUUCUGUGGCUUAAGAGAUGCCCCUAGGCGGCAGUGUCCGGCUCCCAACGCCAAAGAACUACUGAAGGGCGGAGACAGACCCCACUACUCCGGGACCCCAGGCCUCUUCGGUCACCCACUCGCUGUUGCCGAGAGCAUGCCGGGAAGCGUAGUCUGGCCGGUAGAUCCUAGUGCCUUGCAUGCCGGGGAACGCAGUCCAGUGGUGAGGCCUCGGUGCUUUGCAUGCUGGGAUAUGUAGUCCGGUCCGCGGUGCGUGCGGCGAUCCGGCUUUGUCUUAAGGGCUCUGAAAAAAAAGGCCCAGCUGGUCGCUGCUGAUUCGCGCACUUUCUCGGGUGUAUGCUUUGUUCUGUGUUCUGUUCUUGUCUGUUUUUCGACAGCUAGUGAAUUGCGAUUUAGGAACGUCAGUUUAAGCCACAAAAGCGGUUUUUAUUUUGUAGACAUUCAUCUGCUGGCAAGAUUGUUGCAGAAUAAAAGACCAGAGGGGUCUUCUUCUUUUUUUAAAUGAAAACAACUUUUGAUUGCUAUGCAAUUUGAGAGGCAGCUGGUGGUAUCGCUUUUUGCAUAUUUUGGAUACUAGUUUAAGCCAACUUUGUUUAGCCCUGCUACUCCUAACCAUUAAUAUAUGGUUAUGGUUUAAUAUAAUGGUUAAUAAUGUGGUUUAAUAAAUGGGUGUAUGGCUUGUUCCUUGUUUAAUCUAACCUUUCAUUUUCUUUCCUCGGAAAGUAAGCUUAGGUUCCAUGAAGACACAGAGAAAGCAGAGGCGGAUGCCGCAUGCCCCUGCUCUCAAUUCUCAGAAAUUUUAGGUCGUUCGAUGAAAACCAACCCUGCUGGAACGACUGCUCCUGGUUAAGAGCACUGGCUGCUCUUGCAGAGGACCUAGGUUUCCGUUCCGUUCCUACUUGGAACCUACUUGGCAGCGCACAGACACCGGUAACUCCAGAUCUAGGGGAUCCAGCGCCCUCCUCUGGCUUUGAUGGGCACUGCAUGCAGUAAUAUAUAUCGGUGAGCUUUUCCACCCAGCUACUUCGUUCCUAGAAUAACGAUUCUGAGUAUUAAUAAAUGCUUAGACCAUAA
rnacentral:sRNA from 1 species